rnacentral:rRNA from 1 species
GUCCACGCCCUAAACGAUGCAUAUUUGGUGUGGGCAGUUCAUUCUGUCCGUGCCGGAGCUAACGCGUUAAAUAUGCCGCCUUGGGAGUACAGUCGCAAGGCUGAAACUCAAAGGAAUUGACGGGGGCCCCGCACAAGCGGUGGAGCAUGUGGUUCAAUUCGACGCAACGCGAAGAACCUUACCUGGGCUCGAACGGCUGGUCAACGGCGGUGGAAACACCGCUACCCCGCAAGGGGGUCCAGUCGAGGUGCUGCAUGGCUGUCGU